CCUACGGGGGGCUGCAGUGGGGAAUCUUGCGCAAUGGGCGAAAGCCUGACGCAGCAACGCCGCGUGCGGGAUGACGGCCUUCGUGGUUGUAAACCGCUUUCAGCAGGGACGAAAAUGACGGUACCUGCAGAAGAAGCCCCGGCUAACUACGUGCCAGCAGCCGCGGUAAUACGUAGGGGGCAAGCGUUGUCCGGAAUCAUUGGGCGUAAAGAGCUCGUAGGCGGUUCAGUAAGUCGGGUGUGAAAGCUCCGAGCUCAACUCGGAGAGGCCACUCGAUACUGCUGUGACUAGAAUCCAGUAGGGGAGUGUGGAACUCCUGGUGUAGCGGUGAAAUGCGCAGAUAUCAGGAAGAACACCAGCGGCGAAGGCGGCACUCUGGGCUGGUAUUGACGCUGAGGAGCGAAAGUGUGGGUAGCAAACAGGCUUAGAUACCCGGGUAGUC
rnacentral:rRNA from 1 species